rnacentral:rRNA from 1 species
UACAAUGGAGAGUUUGAUCCUGGCUCAGGAUGAACGCUAGCGGCAGGCCUAAUACAUGCAAGUCGAACGGACGGUAGCAAUACCGUUAGUGGCGCACGGGUGCGUAACGCGUAACCA